ACUCCCCAGGCGGUCGAUUUCACGCGUUAGCUUCGCUACCAAGCAAUCAAGUUGCCCAACAGCUAAUCGACAUCGUUUAGGGCGUGGACUACCAGGGUAUCUAAUCCUGUUUGCUACCCACGCUUUCGGGCAUGAACGUCAGUGCUAUCCCAGGGGGCUGCCUUCGCCAUCGGUAUUCCUCCACAUCUCUACGCAUUUCACUGCUACACGUGGAAUUCUACCCCCCUCUGACACACUCUAGCCACCCAGUUCAGAACGCAAUUCCCAGGUUGAGCCCGGGGAUUUCACAUCCUGCUUAAGUAACCGUCUGCGCCCGCUUUACGCCCAGUAAUUCCGAUUAACGCUCGCACCCUACGUAUUACCGCGGCUGCUGGCACGUAGUUAGCCGGUGCUUAUUCUUCCGGUACCGUCAGCACGCAAUGGUAUUAACAUCGCGCUUUUCUUCCCGGACAAAAGUCCUUUACAACCCGAAGGCCUUCUUCAGACACGCGGCAUGGCUGGAUCAGGGUUGCCCCCAUUGUCCAAAAUUCCCCACUGCUGCCUCCCGUAGGAGUCUGGGCCGUGUCUCAGUCCCAGUGUGGCGGAUCAUCCUCUCAGACCCGCUACUGAUCGUC
rnacentral:rRNA from 1 species